GACGAACGCUGGCGGCGUGCUUAACACAUGCAAGUCGAACGAAGUGGCGAACGGGUGAGUAAUACGUGAGUAACCUGCCCUCCUUUUCGGGCUAAGCCUUGGAAACGGGGUCUAAUACCGAAUAAAGGGGGUUGGGCUCGCGGGCUAUCAGCUUGUUGGGGGGGUGAUGGCCUACGAAUGCGGUGACGGGUGGCAGGCCUGGGAGGGUUACCGGCCGAAUUGGGCCUGAGACACGGCCCAGAGGCCGACGGGAGGAGGCAGUGGGGGAUAUUGGACAAUGGGCGAAAGCCGGAUGGAUCGACGCGGCAUGGGGGAUGAAGGCUUUCGGGUUGUAAACCGCUGUCGCGAUCAAGCGGGUAGGUGGACAAGAAGCGCCGGCUAACUACGUGCCAGCAGCCGCGGUAAUUC
rnacentral:rRNA from 1 species